GUUAGGAAGAGUCGUCGGCUAGAGGCGAUUUGGCUGGCGUUGGAUCAGGCAAAAAUGGUUACCUGAUUAUCCCUCAUGUGCUGGAGCGCGUGAAGACAACAAAGGUGCGUCGACAGCGCGUGGCGGCUUCCGGCAAGGAUUACAGAGUCGGUUUUCUAGGGACUAAGUCGCCUGCGAUCAACUAAUCCUUUUAGGUGGGUGGUGUAGUCCACCUCCCUCUGGUAGGUGACCCACUAGAACGACAAUGGCGUUUGUUCUUCAAGCACAGAGAAGAGACGAAGUAGAAUUUCGAUCAGACCCUUUUUUUUUUAGGCUCUAAUACCA
rnacentral:misc_RNA from 1 species